CCUUGGUUAGCUCAGUUGGUAGAGCGCUCCACUUGAAUUGGAGAGGUCACGGGUUCAAUACCCGGACCAGGCG
rnacentral:tRNA from 2 species